UACGAAGGGGGCUAGCGUUGCUCGGAAUCACUGGGCGUAAAGCGCACGUAGGCGGAUUGCUAAGUCAGGGGUGAAAUCCUGGAGCUCAACUCCAGAACUGCCUUUGAUACUGGCGAUCUUGAGUCCGGGAGAGGUGAGUGGAACUGCGAGUGUAGAGGUGAAAUUCGUAGAUAUUCGGAGGAACACCAGUGGCGAAGGCGACUCGCUGGACAGGUAUUGACGCUGAGGUGCGAAAGCGUGGGGAGCAAACAGG
rnacentral:rRNA from 1 species